GUUUGUGCUUGUCGUCGGGCCACUGCAGCUUGUCUCCUCCCCUACAAUCAAGUUUGUGGGGAUUCGAACGAGCUUGCCACUGCCAUCAGGGUGGGAGAUUGCAGCUCAGCUGCUGGUAUACUUUUUGAUAGAGGAUUACGGUAAUUACUGGAUCCACCGACUGCUGCAUUGCCGGUGGGGGUACGAGAAGAUCCACAAGGUGCACCAUGAGUACACGGCACCGAUCGGGUUUGCGGCUCCGUAUGCUCACUGGGCCGAGAUCCUCAUCCUAGGCAUCCCGUCCUUCAUCGGGCCAGCAUUAGUUCCCUGCCAUAUGAUCACACUCUGGUUGUGGAUUGCCCUCCGCCAGAUCGAGGCUAUUGACACUCACAGCGGCUAUGAAUUCCCCUUUAGUCCUACAAAGUUCAUCCCCUUUUACGGAGGAGCAGAGUAUCAUGAUUAUCAUCAUUAUGUCGGAGGGAAGAGUCAGAGCAACUUCGCUUCUGUCUUUACUUACUGUGAUUACAUAUAUGGAACCGAC
rnacentral:misc_RNA from 1 species